rnacentral:rRNA from 1 species
AUUGAACGCUGGCGGCAGGCUUAACACAUGCAAGUCGAGCGGGGUGAUGGUGCUUGCACUAUCACUUAGCGGCGGACGGGUGAGUAAUGCUUAGGAAUCUGCCUAUUAGUGGGGGACAACAUCUCGAAAGGGAUGCUAAUAACGCAUACGUCCUACGGGAGAAAGCAGGGGAUCACUUGUGACCUUGCGCUAAUAGAUGAGCCUAAGGCGGAUUAGCUAGGUGGUGGGGUAAAGGCCUACCAAGGCGACGAUCUGUAGCGGGUCUGAGAGGAUGAUCCGCCACACUGGGACUGAGACACGGCCCAGACUCCUACGGGAGGCAGCAGUGGGGAAUAUUGGACAAUGGGGGGAACCCUGAUCCAGCCAUGCCGCGUGUGUGAAGAAGGCCUUAUGGUUGUAAAGCACUUUAAGCGAGGAGGAGGCUCUUUUGGUUAAUACCCAAGAUGAGUGGACGUUACUCGCAGAAUAAGCACCGGCUAACUCUGUGCCAGCCGCCGCCGUAA